AUUGAACGCAGGCGGCAGGCCUAACACAUGCAAGUCGAACGAGUGGCGGACGGGUGAGUAAUGUAUGGGAAACUGCCUGAUGGAGGGGGAUAACUACUGGAAACGGUGGCUAAUACCGCAUACCAUCAGAUUGGCCCAGAUGGGAAUAGCUAGUUGGUGGGGGAACGGCUCACCAAGGCGACGAUCCCUAGCUGGUCUUAGAGGAUGACCAGCCACACGGUAACGUAUACACGGUCCAGACUCCUACGGGAGGCAGCAGUGGGGAAUAUUGCACAAUGGGCGCAAGCCUGAUGCAGCCAUGCCGCGUGUAUGAAGAAGGCCUUCGGGUUGUAAAGUACUUUCAGCGGGGAGGCGUUACCCGCAGAAGAAGCACCGGCUAACUCCGUGCCAGCAGCCGCGGUAAUAC
rnacentral:rRNA from 1 species